GGUCACCUGGACUCACCUGAGCAGCAGCACCUGUCCCUGGGGGGGUUUGGGGUGACUCAGGUGAGUUCCAGGUGAAUUUUGGGUGAUUUCAGGUGAAUUUUGGGUGAAUUUUGGGUGAAUUUUGGCAGUUUUUGGGUGUUUU